UGGGGAAUCUUGGACAAUGGGGGCAACCCUGAUCCAGCCAUGCCGCGUGGGUGAAGAAGGCCUUAGGGUUGUAAAGCCCUUUCAGUCGUGACGAUGAUGACGGUAGCGACAGAAGAAGCCCCGGCUAACUCCGUGCCAGCAGCCGCGGUAAUACGGAGGGGGCAAGCGUUGUUCGGAUUUACUGGGCGUAAAGGGCGCGUAGGCGGACGGUCAAGUCAGAGGUGAAAGGCCCGGGCUCAACCUGGGACGUGCCUUUGAUACUGGAAGUCUUGUGUUCGAGAGAGGUGAGUGGAAUACCGAGUGUAGAGGUGAAAUUCGUAGAUAUUCGGUGGAACACCAGUGGCGAAGGCGGCUCACUGGCUCGAUACUGACGCUGAGGUGCGAAAGCGUGGGGAGCAAACAGGAUUAGAUACCCCUGUAGUCC
rnacentral:rRNA from 1 species